UGUUUCCGUGGGUUGGCGAAUAAAGGUGAAUUGAUGGGUAUAAAGAAGUCUUCUUGGUAGGUUUGGUGGGCGUGUGACCGAACCACACAAGUUAGGCAGCAAGGAAUCAAAUACUGUUUAACCAACGUAGCUGUUGUUUAUGUUUGGUGUAAUGUAAUUCAUUACAGAACUUAGUUUGGUUAUAACACCAAGUGCUGUCUCUUUUGUUUAUGAUCGAUCUCCUUCAGGAUUAUGAAGUGUUAUUCUUGCUAGCAAUUCUCUUUGAAUAAGAUAAGCACGUGACAAACUUGUCAGCUCUUGUUUUGAUUA